rnacentral:rRNA from 1 species
UACGUAGGGGGCCAGCGUUGUCCGGAAUCAUUGGGCGUAAAGCGCGCGUAGGCGGCCAGAUAAGUCCGGUGUGAAAGUCACAGGCUCAACCUGUGAAUGCCGCUGGAAACUAUCUGGCUAGAGUCCGGAAGGGGCGAGUGGAAUUCCUGGUGUAGCGGUGAAAUGCGCAGAUAUCAGGAGGAACACCGAUGGCGAAGGCAGCUCGCUGGGACGGUACUGACGCUGAGGAGCGAAAGCGUGGGGAGCGAACAGG